CACAGCCUUAAAUGUGAAUUUCUUAUAAGGUAUAUUUGAAACUACCAUAAGAUACCGAUAGCAAUAAACUUUUAUCAGUUUUGAAAAAUGCUACUUGAAUUUGGUGGUCUUUUCCAUCUCAAAAUGAAUGCAUCUUAGAUUCUAUAGGAAUUAUUCAGAUAAAAUUUGUGCAGUUGUCACCUUAUUUCUGUAUCUGUUAUAGUGCAAAAUACAUUUAGUUAAUAUUUACUGACCUAUUUUUGUUUUAUACAUUUUAGCUUCAGAGGAAAUUGCAUGUCUUUUAUUUCUCUGAAGCUUAAAAUAGCUUGCUACAUUUACAAGACUCAUCUUCCAUUUUAAAUUUUAUGAAUUUGAAAAGACGAAAUAUAACACUGUGUAAAAUUCAAUAUAAACAGUGAAUGAAAUAAGCAAAAGAUUAUAUU
rnacentral:lncRNA from 1 species